GAUGAACGCUGGCGGCGUGCCUAAUACAUGCAAGUCGAGCGAACAGACGAGGAGCUUGCUCCUCUGACGUUAGCGGCGGACGGGUGAGUAACACGUGGAUAACCUACCUAUAAGACUGGGAUAACUUCGGGAAACCGGAGCUAAUACCGGAUAAUAUAUUGAACCGCAUGGUUCAAUAGUGAAAGACGGUUUUGCUGUCACUUAUAGAUGGAUCCGCGCCGCAUUAGCUAGUUGGUAAGGUAACGGCUUACCAAGGCAACGAUGCGUAGCCGACCUGAGAGGGUGAUCGGCCAAACUGGAACUGGGACACGGUCCAGACUCCUACGGGAGGCAGCAGUAGGGAAUCUUCCGCAAUGGGCGAAAGCCUGACGGAGCAACGCCGCGUGAGUGAUGAAGGUCUUCGGAUCGUAAAACUCUGUUAUUAGGGAAGAACAAAUGUGUAAGUAACUAUGCACGUCUUGACGGUACCUAAUCAGAAAGCCACGGCUAACUACGUG
rnacentral:rRNA from 1 species